GGGCGCCGUAGCUAGUGAAAUUACUGGGCAAAUGAUACUUAACAUCUUAUGUCUCAAGGUGACGAGCGCAAUUGUAGUGUCACUCAGAAGUUUUAGGUUUUUCACGAAUCCUGAGCGGAACAUAAAAAUGUCAGAUUCCAAAUUCAAAUGUAAUAUUUUGUUUAUUUUUAAUUGUAACAGUAUUUAUGGCCAGACUAAGUAGCAAUUACUAGUAGAAUAAAAAAAAAAUAUUAGCGUCGCCAUUGGUCAGAUACAAUAUGACCUGAAUAUGACAAUAAAUGUCAAUUGCAAUGAAUACUUGUCGGUUAUGUUAUAAUCUUAGUAUAAUAUAUGAGCACAAUGAGCAGCAUUUACCAUACAUUGUUAAAUAAAUAUCUAAUAUAUAAAAUUCUCAUGUCGCGGUGUUUGUAGUUAAACUCCUUCGAAACGGCUUGACCGAUUCUGAGUCUGAGAAUCGGACAACAUCUACUUUUCAUCCCCCUAAAUGUUAGGGGUGGUCCACGCCAAAUUAAUUGUUAAAUUUUUUGUAAUUUUUUUUAAAUUUGUUUGAUUAUGAGUCAGAAUUAAAAAAAUCAUCACAUUUGUAUAGCGAUGUUAAUAUCGGCAAUACAACGUUUUCUGGGUCAGCUAGUAAUAUAUAAAAUAAUAUUUAUAGCAAAUUGUUUCUUCUUAUCUGUUAUUUAAAAUUGAAAAUGUAACAAUUCGUCUUUUAUGUCAAUGUUCUGUUUAGAUAAAAAUAUUUGUAUAAGAAUAAUCAUAUUCACUACAUUCUUAAAUUAUUCAUAUUAAUUUAUCAAUGAAUUGUAUUAUCAUACAAAAAAGUAAUAAGACUUAAAUGUAUGUUGUAUAAAAAUAUUAAGUAUAUAAAUCAUAAA